AGCAAUUCUUGUCUCUCUCUUUGUCUUUCAGACUAUUAAACAUGGCUUCCAGGGGAUUGGAAUUUCCUCCCAGGAAUCUUACCCUGGGAGAAGGAAAAGGCUGAAUGAAGCUUGAUGCCAGCCAGAGAGGGAAUCUGUCACCAGUCAAGAUUUCACACGAUGCGGACAAGAUGGCUUGACCCAUGGCAGAGUCAGUGAUGAUGCAACAAUGGGUGGUGCCAAGACUGCUUAGUUAUGCACACUUAUAUCCUAUUUAAACCCAAGCCUCUUAGACAGCCAUGCCUCUGAGAGACUUGGUGACAUGCUCAGUGAUGCACAAGACAAAGCUGGAAUGAGAACCUGGCCAGGCUCCUCCACACCAGCUCUCUGGACUACAUGCUAUGCCUUUUAUAGCUGGGGUCAGCAAACAACUGCCUGGGACUGUUCCAGUUUAGCAAAUAUUAUAUCCUCAAAAAGAACUCCAUUUUCUUUAUUAUCAGACUAGAUUUUUAAAAAGAACCAUGUUUAAGGACUACAUUUUCAAUUGCAUGAAUAAAAAUGUUAUGGGAA